rnacentral:rRNA from 1 species
UCUUGACAUCCAGCGAACUUUCCAGAGAUGGAUUGGUGCCUUCGGGAACGCUGAGACAGGUGCUGCAUGGCUGUCGUCAGCUCGUGUUGUGAAAUGUUGGGUUAAGUCCGCAACGAGCGCAACCCUUAUCCUUUGUUGCCAGCGAUUCGGUCGGGAACUCAAAGGAGACUGCCGGUGAUAAACCGGAGGAAGGUGGGGAUGACGUCAAGUCAUCAUGGCCCUUACGAGUAGGGCUACACACGUGCUACAAUGGCGCAUACAAAGAGAAGCGACCUCGCGAGAGCAAGCGGACCUCAUAAAGUGCGUCGUAGUCCGGAUCGGAGUCUGCAACUCGACUCCGUGAAGUCGGAAUCGCUAGUAAUCGUGGAUCAGAAUGCCACGGUGAAUACGUUCCCGGGCCUUGUACACACCGCCCGUCACACCAUGGGAGUGGGUUGCAAAAGAAGUAGGUAGCUUAACCUCCGGGAGGGCGCUUACCACUUUGUGAUUCAUGACUGGGGUGAAGUCGUAACAAGGUAAGCGUACGUGU